rnacentral:rRNA from 1 species
AGUGAACGCUGGCGGUAUGCCUAACACAUGCAAGUCGAACGACAGCACCGUAAGAGCUUGCUCUUACGGGUGUCGAGUGGCGGACGGGUGCGGAAUACAUCGGAAUAUACUUUGUAGUGGGGGAUAACGUAGGGAAACGUACGCUAAUACAGCAUACGACCUACGGGGGAGAGCAGGGGAUGUUCGGACCUUGCGCGAUUGAAAGAGCCGAUGUCGGCGUAGCUAGUUGGCGGGGUAAAGGGCUACAAAGGCCACAAUCGGUAGGUGGUCUGAGAGGAAGAUUACCCACACUGUAACUGAGACACGGCCCAGACACCUACGGUAGGCCGCGGUGGGGAAUCUUGCACGAGGGAGGAAAGCGUGAUCCAGCCAUACCGCGGGAGUGAUGAAGGAGUUCGGGUUGUAAAGCGAUGUAGGUGGUAAAGAAAAAAAGCAGUUUAAUACCCCGUUGUUCUGACGGUACCCAAAGAAUAAGCACCGGCUAACUUCGUG